AUGAACGCUGGCGGCGUGCCUAAUACAUGCAAGUCGAGCGAACGGACGAGAAGCUUGCUUUUCUGAUGUUAGCGGCGGACGGGUGAGUAACACGUGGAUAACCUACCUAUAGGACUGGGAUAACUUCGGGAAACCGGAGCUAAUACCGGAUAAUAUUUUGAACCGCAUGGUUCAAAAGUGAAAGACGGUCUUGCUGUCACUUAUAGAUGGAUCCGCGCUGCAUUAGCUAGUUGGUAAGGUAACGGCUUACCAAGGCAACGAUGCAUAGCCGACCUGAGAGGGUGAUCGGCCACACUGGAACUGAGACACGGUCCAGACUCCUACGGGAGGCAGCAGUAGGGAAUCUUCCGCAAUGGGCGAAAGCCUGACGGAGCAACGCCGCGUGAGUGAUGAAGGUCUUCGGAUCGUAAAACUCUGUUAUUAGGGAAGAACAUAUGUGUAAGUAACUGUGCACAUCUUGACGGUACCUAAUCAGAAAGCCACGGCUAACUACGUG
rnacentral:rRNA from 1 species